rnacentral:rRNA from 1 species
AACGCUGGCGGCGCGCUUAAUACAUGCAAGUCGAACGAGAAGCCAGAGCUUGCUCUGGUGGAAAGUGGCGAACGGGUGAGUAACACGUGAGAAACCUGCCCCAAAGAUUGGGAUAAGCCUUGGAAACGAGGUCUAAUACCAAAUACCUUCUUUUAACACAUGUUAAAAGAGAAAUGCUCCGGCGCUUUGGGAUGGUCUCGCGAUCUAUCAGCUUGUUGGUGAGGUAACGGCUCACCAAGGCAUCGACGGAUAGCUGGUCUGAGAGGAUGUCCAGCCACAUUGGAACUGAGACACGGUCCAAACUCCUACGGGAGGCAGCAGUAGGGAAUCUUGCACAAUGAGGGAAACCUUGAUGCAGCGACGCCGCGUGCGGGACGAAGGCCCUAGGGUUGUAAACCGCUUUCAGUAGGGACGAAAGUGACGGUACCUACAGAAGAAGCCCCGGCCAACUAUGUG